AUCCAGCUGACGAGUCUCAAAUGGGACGAAACGCGCAUCCUGGAU
rnacentral:hammerhead_ribozyme from 1 species